rnacentral:rRNA from 1 species
UACGUAGGGGGCAAGCGUUGUCCGGAUUUAUUGGGCGUAAAGAGCGUGUAGGCGGCUUGGUAGGUCCGCUGUGAAAACUCGAGGCUCAACCUCGAGAUGUCGGCGGAAACCACUUGGCUAGAGUCCGGAAGAGGAGAAUGGAAUUCCUGGUGUAGCGGUGAAAUGCGCAGAUAUCAGGAAGAACACCUAUGGCGAAGGCAGCUCUCUGGGACGGUACUGACGCUGAGACGCGAAAGCGUGGGGAGCGAACAGG